rnacentral:rRNA from 1 species
GACGAACGCUGGCGGCGUGCCUAAUACAUGCAGGUUGAGCGCUGAAGGUUGGUACUUGUACCAACUGGAUGAGCAGCGAACGGGUGAGUAACGCGUGGGGAAUCUGCCUUUGAGCGGGGGACAACAUUUGGAAACGAAUGCUAAUACCGCAUAAAAACUUUAAACACAAGUUUUAAGUUUGAAAGAUGCAAUUGCAUCACUCAAAGAUGAUCCCGCGUUGUAUUAGCUAGUUGGUGAGGUAAAGGCUCACCAAGGCGAUGAUACAUAGCCGACCUGAGAGGGUGAUCGGCCACAUUGGGACUGCGACACGGCCCAAACUCCUACGGGAGGCAGCAGUAGGGAAUCUUCGGCAAUGGACGAAAGUCUGACCGAGCAACGCCGCGUGAGUGAAGAAGGUUUUCGGAUCGUAAAACUCGGUUGGUAGAGAAGAACGUUGGUGAGAGUGGAAAGCUCAUCAAGUGACGGUAACUACCCAGAAAGGGACGGCUAACUACGUG